CAAUCAAGUGCCUUAAGGGUGUUCGGUGGAUGCCUUGGCGCUGAGAGGCGAUGAAGGACGUGCUACGCUGCGAUAAGCCGUGGGGAGCUGCGAAGAAGCUUUGAUCCAUGGAUUUCCGAAUGGGGAAACCCACCUUCGAUAGCCGGAACUCCAAGACCUUUGUCGAGAGACAUUGGUGUGGGGUUCGAUCAGAAAUGAGAGAUGCCUAGGCCUUUAGAUUUCGAUCGAAGAGGUUUUGGAUUUCCGGUUAUCAAGAGAAGGUAUGAGACUUCUGAAUACAUAGGAGGUUUCAAGCAAACCCAGGGAACUGAAACAUCUAAGUACCUGGAGGAAAGGACAUCAACAGAG
rnacentral:rRNA from 2 species